GCCCAAGUGGCGGAAUGGUAGACGCAGGAGAUUCAAAAUCUCCCGUCCUAACGGACGUGCCGGUUCGAGUCCGGCCUUGGGUA
rnacentral:tRNA from 1 species